rnacentral:lncRNA from 10 species
AAAAUAGGUCUGUACAUUUUUGAGCACCCAAAGUGGUAAGAGACAUUCUUGAAAACAGCUUAAAAAUUUCUGUAGAUACCACCACAAAUAAUCCACACAAUACUUCAACAAGCAUUUAUUAAACGCCUACUAUGUGCUCAGCACUAUACUAGGCACUCGGGGGUGCAGAGAUACAAAUGUAAAAGUUAUUAUUCCUGCCCUCAAGGAGCUUACAAUUUAAUUUUGGAAAUAAAUACAAAUAUGAAACUGUAACACAGAGUGCUAGAAAAUAAUUACAAAGCAACAUAUUAGUAAGUACAUGGACCACAGUACAAACUCAAAAGAUAAGUGCUGAGGCAGCACAGAAUGAGGGAGGUCAUCGCAUGAGGUGAUGUCAAUCAGGGAGAGCUCAGUCAGAAGAUAUAAAGGAAGAAAGGCUUUGAAGGGAGUGAUGAACAUGAGCUGGGACCAAAGAGCAAUCUAAGCAAAAAGAAUAGCAUGAGAAAGGCACAGAGGCAAGAGCUUGUAAGACAUCAGUAGAAGGCUGUAGGAAGUUUGAAUCUGUUGAAUCAAGGUGAAUAUGCUAGAGAGUAAUGAAGGCUGAUGAAUAUUAGGCAUAGAGGUAAUGGAGAAUUUGGAACACCACUGCUCCAUAGGAAUUAUCUACUGGGUGUUACUUAGUGAAAAUGAAAUUUUACAAUAGAGAUAUUGUAAAAAUGGGUUUUGAGGAGGAGCACCUUAGAAACUUUAUACAAGAUGGGGAUCCUGGGAGCAAGGAAAUUGGAAAAAAAAGAAUUACAGUAACCUGGGCCUCAGAUCUACAUGAAAAGCUAUAAUGGGAUGAGAGAAAUGGGAGAUCAAGCCUCAAGGAGAAAACUGAUUAAAAACUGGACUGACAGCAAGUUUUUGGACAUGGAGAAUGGAGAGCAGAAAAAGAUAACUCCAAGGCUGGGGUAAAAAUAUAAAGGUGGUGACACUUUUCAGGGCAAAGGAAUUACGCAAUGAGGCCUGUUUAAAAAGAAAACGGGGGCUGGGGAUAUAUGGUGAUGAAUCCUGUUUUCAAAUAUCAAGUUGUACAGGUACCUGUGGAAAAUUCCAAAAGUCACAAACUGACCCACAGGGUGGGAAAAAUGAAGUCAUUCGAAUACAAAUAGUAGGUAUAAACAAUCAAAAUGGAUAAAUAGGAGUAUAGAAAAUGAAGUGAAUAAAAGACAGGGAGAUUAUUCUCAGUGGAGAAGAGGAGAAAGGGGAGUGGGUGGAAAGAUCAACUAAAAAAAGAAAGACAGAUAUUAGAGAAAAAGGAUCCCACAAGCCAAAGGAGGGAGAAUUCAACAAUAUAAAAUAUAAAUUAGAUCAAAAAAGACAAGAAAUAAUAAUAAAAAAAGGCCUUAUUAUUUGUCCACUGGUGAGUCUAAGAACAUUUCACUGGAAUGCUAAGUAUGAAAGCCAGUAAAAAGAAGUUUUAAGAACAGAUUAAUGAAAAAGGGGGGUUGAAAAAUCAAAGAUAUGUUUGAAAAACCAUGAACAAUAGAGGAGAAACAGAAUGGUAGUUGGAAAUGGGCAAUGAGGAUGAAAGCAUUUCACAUUUUAUGCUGUAGAUGAACUUACUAUUGUCAUCCUAACUGACCAUCUGCCUGGCCUGGUACAUAUUUUUAAAAAGCUGGUUAGAAUUACCAUGUUCAUUAUACACACCUUAGCACAGUAGUCAGAACAGGCUCUAGAAUCAAACUGUGUGGGUCAGAAUCAGUUUUAUCACAUACUGGCUGGGUGAUAUUGGUCAGCUCACUCAACUAAGCCUCCGUUUCCUCAUUUAUAAAAUGGGGGAUAAAAUAAUACCUAUUGAUAUGGUUUGGCUGUGUCCCAUCCAAAUCUCAUCUUGAAUUGUAGCUCCCACAAUUCCCACGUGUCGUGGGUGGGACCAAGUGGGAGGUAAUUGAAUCACGGGGGCAGAACUUUCCUGUGCUGUUCUUGUGAUAGUGAAUAAGUCUCACAAGAUCGGACGGUUUUAUAAAGAGUUCCCCUGCACAAGUUCUCUCUUUGCCUGCUGCCAUCCAUGUAUAAGACAUGAUUUGCUCCUCCUUGCCUUCCACCAUGAUUGUGAGGCGUCCCCAGCCAUGUGGAACUGAGUCCAUUAAACCUCUUUCCUUUAUAAAUUACCCAGUGUCAGGUAUGUCUUUAAUAGCAGCAUGAGAACAGACUAAUACAUUUAUCAUGAGCCUGAGAAAGGCAUAACAGGGUUGGGCACAUAGUAAGUGCUCAAUAAACGUCGGCUAUUAUUAUUUGGAGACUCAGAACCAAGAGUAAAGUUAACUGCUCUGUUUGGGAAUCAACCACCAUAUUCUAGCACUGCACCUUGCUCCAUGGAGAAAAUCUCUGAAACCUAACAUGCCUCUCCCAGGGCUAUGUUGGAUGGCAUUAGAGUUAUGAAAGAACCACCUUAUCAUGUCAGUUCCUAAAAUGAGAAGCUUAGGAUGGGAGGAGAAAGUACUGAUGAAUAGUUCAUUUCAGAUGAACAUAAAGAUAGAAUCUAUAGGAUAAAGGAGCUUAAUGAAUGCCAUUCACAGUUAAGAGCUCAAAAUGUCAUACAGCCUAGUCAAUAAUAUUCUAUGCUAAGAGUGUGAACUUGAGACAAAGAAUGAUUUCUAGUGAUGUCCUCAAAGAAUCCACAGCCUUUUUCUAUUGUCUUAUACCAUUUGGCUAAUUCUGUAUAUGUGCUGUAUCAGCUUUGAUAAUUCUUUCAAGACACAGUCUUUUCUCACACCCAAUAUAACACUAAUUUUUCUAGUCAUAUUAUUUUCUCCAAAUUUAUGCCACAUGCUUAGUAAUUCUGAGAUUUAAGUAAUCUGGCUACAUAUUACUCUUAAUACUGACACAUAAAGAGACUUUAGCUAGUACAUCUGUAUACAUUUCAAUGUGUUGCUCUGGUCUAUGGCCAUACCACCCUGAAUGCACCCAAUUUUGUUAAUAUGUUGCAUUGCUAAAAGGACUUU